UACGUAGGGCGCAAGCGUUGUCCGGAAUUAUUGGGCGUAAAGAGCUCGUAGGCGGUCUGUUACGUCCGCUGUGAAAACCCAGGGCUUAACCCUGGGCUUGCAGUGGAUACGGGCAGACUAGAGGCAGGUAGGGGGAGAAUGGAAUUCCCGGUGUAGCGGUGAAAUGCGCAGAUAUCGGGAGGAACACCGGUGGCGAAGGCGACUCGCUGGACAGGUAUUGACGCUGAGGUGCGAAAGCGUGGGGAGCAAACAGG
rnacentral:rRNA from 1 species